GAUGAACGCUGGCGGCGUGCUUAACACAUGCCAGUCGAACGAUGAAGCCCAGCUUGCUGGGUGGAUUAGUGGCGAACGGGUGAGUAACACGUGAGUAACCUGCCCUUAACUCUGGGAUAAGCCUGGGAAACUGGGUCUAAUACCGGAUAGGAGCGUCCACCGCAUGGUGGGUGUUGGAAAGAUUUAUCGGUUUUGGAUGGACUCGCGGCCUAUCAGCUUGUUGGUGAGGUAAUGGCUCACCAAGGCGACGACGGGUAGCCGGCCUGAGAGGGUGACCGGCCUCACUGGGACUGAGACACGGCCCAGGCUCCUACGGGAGGCAGCAGUGGGGAAUAUUGCACAAUGGGCGCAAGCCUGAUGCAGCGACGCCGCGUGAGGGAUGACGGCCUUCGGGUUGUAAACCUCUUUCAGUAGGGAAGAAGCGAAAGUGACGGUACCUGCAGAAGAAGCACCGGCUAACUACGUG
rnacentral:rRNA from 1 species